AUUGAACGCUGGCGGCAUGCCUAACACAUGCAAGUCGAACGAGUGGCGGACGGGUGAGUAAUGUCUGGGAAAGUGCCUGAUGGAGGGGGAUAACUACUGGAAACGGUAGCUAAUACCGCAUACUAUCGGAUGUGCCCAUAUGGGAUUAGAUAGUAGGUGGGGUAAAGGCUCACCUAGGCGACGAUCCCUAGCUGGUCUUAGAGGAUGACCAGCCACACGGGAACUGAGACACGGGCCAGACUCCUACGGGAGGCAGCAGUGGGGAAUAUUGGACAAUGGGCGAAAGCCUGAUGCAGCCAUGCCGCGUGUAUGAAGAAGGCCUUCGGGUUGUAAAGUACUUUCAGCGGGGAGGCGUUACCCGCAGAAGAAGCACCGGCUAACUACGUGCCAGCAGCCGCGGUAAUAC
rnacentral:rRNA from 1 species